rnacentral:lncRNA from 1 species
GUGGGGACAAAUAUUGCUACACAUGCUGCAGUACCUCCUGUUAAUGGAACUUUUGGAAAUUCUGGAGGACCUCCCAGAAGGUAUUGACCUCACCCAUAUGUUUGUGCAUACCUGCCUGGAUCUGAUUUUUUGUGGUCUAAAUGCUGAAGUAUUUGUAUAUUUUAUUUUAUUCUUCCUGAUCUACAAUUUUUUAUGUUGGAAUAUUACUUUUUGAGUAUGCAUAUAAUGCCAAUGAUUUGAGGGUUUGCUUUAAUAAUUGAGUUGUGUGUUCUUUGUUGUAAACAAUUAAUUAUAUUUGGAAUUAGUUUAAGGGAAUUUCAUUUUGUACAUUAAUCUACUUUGAAAUUGCUAUUUCAAAAUUCAAAAACAAACCAAUAUCUUGUAUUUUAAGUUGAUUGUUUGUAUCAUGGAUUUUGACUUUCAAACAGUGGACAAGGGAGAAGUGGGCUACUAGGAAGGCCACGUGGUGCACCUAGAGGGCGAGGUAGCAGUCGGAGGGGUCGAGGAGGACGUGGUAGAGAUCGUGAUGAAAAGGUAUCUGCUGAAGAUCUUGAUGCUGAGUUGGAGAAGUAUCAUGCUGAGGCUAUGCAAUUGAACUGAAGGAAUCACUGAUAUUCUGUUUUAUUGAUAUUACAUUUGCGGUUGUCAAGGGCAUGUCA